GCAAGUCGCACGAGAACUCUUCUGCUUGCAGAAGAUAGUAAAGUGGCGCACGGGUGAGUAACGCGUGGGUAAUCUACCUCCGACUCGGGGAUAACAUCGCGAAAGUGAUGCUAAUACCGGAUAAUAUCUAAUAUGCUUCGGCACUUUAGAUCAAAGGUGGCCUCUAUAUAUAAGCUACUGAUUGGAGAUGAGCCCGCGUACCAUUAGCUUGUUGGUAGGGUAACGGCUUACCAAGGCAACGAUGGUUAGCUGGUCUGAGAGGAUGAUC
rnacentral:rRNA from 1 species